GGUCAUAUGACUCACUCAUCAAAACAGAAGACACUCUGCGGGCGAACACACCUUUAACUUGCUUCGCCCUCCCCUGCCACGUGCGCCCCGAGGGACCACAGGGACGGAGAGAGGGGCUCUCCUCUCCCCGUGAGAGCCUGCUGCAAGUGACCUCCCCAGCCGUUCUCCACACCUCCCUCCCCCGUUUCCUUCCUGCCCAGGCCCGGGCUCCCUCCACGGCCCUCACAGGUCCGGGGCUCUGGGAGGAGAGGACUCAUGUGUGUCACUUCCUCUCCAAACAUAAGCAACAGCCAGCAUCUCUGCCAAGUCUCGGCACGGGGCCUGCCGGUCCCGAGCUCAGCUCCCGGGGACAGCGCCUGCUUCCCUGGCUCCUCGAGCUCCACCAGCCAGCCUCGCCCAGAUGGGGAGUCAUCUCCACACAGGGGCCACUUCCCAGCGGCAGAGCCAGGCAGGGCUCCGAGGCCAUCAUCUCACUUUCUGCAGUGCUGCAGGAAAAUGCAAGGAAACCGAGCGCCUGCUAAGCAGCACAAGGAUAAAAACUGCUUUCCGCCAAGCCAAGCGUCGGAGGGUUUUUGAAGUGCGGGAGACAAAACAGGAGCGCAAAACAAGCAAGUACAGGUCCCACCGCCUGGGAACCGGGACAGGGUGCCCGGUGGGUGUCAGCUGAAAAAUCAUUUCCAAUCGAGGAGGGGAAGCAGACACACAUGCUACACGCCCCAUGCUUGACGAAACCAGGGGAUUUCAGGAACCCCACAUCAACAUCUACAUACAUACAGAAGGAAAAGCUGGGCGUGCGAGCUAACUGAGCAGUGAGCUUCUGGAAGUUCAACCUGCGAGGCAUAGGAGUCAGGAGGCUGACACAAGGGCACCACGAAGCCAACAGAAUAAGAAAUACCAGGUAAAUAUGGGGGGUGAUGAUGUGUUCAUUACAUAGAAGGGGGAA